ensembl:lncRNA
AAAUGAAGCUUAGGCGAAAAUUCAGUCAGGAAGACUGGACAGGCUGUGCUGUUCCCUGGUGGCCUCCUCUCUCCCUGGGGGCGCACGGCCAGCUGAUUAGGGGCGGGGUCGGGUAGUAUCAGACGUGGGUGUCGUUACCGUAAACCAAUCUCAUUGGGGCAGGCAAACGUUAAAAACUGUUCUCCUCAGUUGUCAUUUCAGCACGCUCCAAAGGUGACCCGCCACCACCCCUGACACCUCCAAUCUACAGCAGAACCUGGCAUAGCAGGAGAGUUAUGCAACUUGGGCUCUACCACCACCACCACCAGUGUCUGGACUCCUAAGUGGGGGGAUAUGCCUCGUCUCGGCUCGAGAUCCCGGCCCCGGGUCUAUCCUGCGGCAGGAUGGAGUCCAAGCCCCAAACAACUUGCAAUAUCAUAUUAUACCUGUCAUAAUAAAGCAUUGUUCAAACUUCAACAAGUCUCUCCGGAUUGAAUUACAGCUACCUUGAAGGUCUGUGGUACAUGAAAGAUUCAUAACAUCUAAUAAAGACGUGCUAACUAAAGGAAAAACUUCCUUUAGCAGCUUAGUCGGAAUCUGAUCCAAGAUACAAGUAGAAGAUUUAGACAGUCAGUUGAUCAAGGUUGAUGGAAGAGAAGGCAUCCAAACAAGCAUCAGGGCCCACUGCUGCAUCCAAGGUGCUUACAUCUAAGGACAGGUCGGCACUGGUUGAAGGCAGGAGACCAUCAAUUUUCUUUUUGAUAGUCAGAAUCUUAUCAUUGAAGAAAUUCAUGAAGUCGUUACUACUGAGGUCCAAAGGAAUACACGGCUCCACAGAGCUGUGACUCUCUGUCAGUCUGCCUACACUGCUGAAGAGAAACCUGGAGUUUUUAUUUUUCUGUAUUAAUGAUGAGUAAUUAGAUGCUCUUGCGUUACAGAGAGCCUUCUUAUAUAUUUUAAGGCUGUCUGGCCAAACUAACCUAGAUCCUUCUGAUUUGGUGGAACACAAUCAUUCAAGUUUCUGCGCAGUUUGCUUUAGGUUCCGUGUUUGAGGGUUAUACCAAGGAGCAGACUUCUUUCUUGUUGCUAUUCUUUCCAGAUGAACAAUAGCAUCCAGCGCCACUCUCAAAGAGCCUGUGACAGUAUUGACAAGUUUUCACAGACGUCUUCUGAUAUCUUGAGACAGGACACUGGACUUUAGUGCAGAAGGAAUGGCUUCUUUAAAUGAGGCUACAGCGGGAUCCGAUAAGCAUCGACUGUAGAAACCCUUGGCAAGAGGAGGAGGAUAUUCCGAUAGUUGAAAGAUCAGACAAUGGUCCGACAAGACAGGUUCUGUGUAAAGAUUGUUAAAUGUUCAAUCCCAUACACAAGAACCAAGUUGUGGGUGUGGUUUAAACAAUGAGUUGGUUUAUUUACACUCUGACAGAAACCAAUUGAAUCUAACAAUGAAAGUAAGUAGAAAGUACCAUGGCUGUCGACAUCCACAUGAAUAUGAACUAGAGACAUCCAGGACGAUAGACAAUGACACGACAAGUGACACAAGAGACACAUGGCUUAAAUACACUAGGGAGGUGCAGGUGAUUGGACACAGGUGGAAACUAUUAAGACGAUCACAGGGGAUGACGGGACAAGGCAGGAAGUGAAGUUACCCGGGGACACGAGUGGCAGAAAACUACAAAAUACAACAUGAAGUGAACCACACCGUGACACAAAUAAAGCGUAACAUUAUUGCUGAUAAAUAACGCAAAAGAAAACAGGUUGACUUUCAGAUUCCCGUGUCCCGUGUGUGUUUGGCCCACACCCUUUAGUAUUGCAGUAUUAUGGUAGAGUCAUGUGUAGAAGACCGUUCUGAUAAGGGUCUCCAACAACAGGAAGCUACAGACCAACACCAACUGGUGUUUCCUCUGCAACCCUCAUAUUUCAGCGCCCACAGCUGAUGCAGUUCACAGCCUGCGUACAGUAAAUAGCCACAGCGCCACUGGUUCUGGGCUUCUCCUGGGAAAACAAAAUCAAUCAAGCUCAAUGGGUUUGCAGAGGAGGGGGGGUGAGGGGGUAGUCUCAUCUUUGCUCAAUAAGAAAUCAAUUCUGAAUUCUUUGCCUCUAUUUUGGUGGAAAACUCCUGUGAAUCCUAUUUAAUAAUCAAGCAUGGAAAGCCGUGGAUAAUAGACCCAGAUUCAAUCGCAAAAAGGGAAGAUAAGCUUAUGCUGUAAUUGAAAUAUCAUUCACAUUGCCUGUAGCUAAGGACCAGCCUGGAAAGAUCUGAAAGUCACACCGAGACGAUGUCUUCAUCUCUGCUCUGUUUUCAAAAGCAGCAGGGAAACGAUAGACGGAAAUCAAUCACUCGUUAAACUGCUAAACUGCCAGGAGACAUUAUCAUCAUUCGCUUAAUAUGUUACUUUAUUAUACUUUGUCAAGAGGCCACCACAGUCGUCUGAUACUGAGACCACAAUAGAAGACACUUUUUGGUGAUGGGAGCAAAAGGAAGUUAGAUGACAAUCAAUAUUCUUUAAAUAUUGUAUACCGUCAGUACACAAGAAGAUUU